rnacentral:rRNA from 1 species
UAGGGAAUAUUGCAAAAUGGGCGAAAGCCCGAUGCAGCAACGCCGCGUGGGCGAUGAAGGCCUUCGGGUCGUAAAGCCCUUUUUGAGGGGAUGAGGAAGGACAGUACCCUCAGAAUAAGCCUCGGCUAACUAAGUGCCAGCAGCCGCGGUAAAACGUAGGAGGCGAGCGUUAUCCGGAUUUACUGGGCGUAAAGCGCGUGCAGGCGGAUUGGAGAGUUGGAUGUGAAAGCUUCCGGCUUAACUGGGAGAGGUCGUUCAAUACUUCCAUUCUUGAGUGCAGUAGAGGGAAGUGGAAUUCCGGGUGUAGUGGUGAAAUGCGUAGAUAUCCGGAGGAACACCAGUGGCGAAAGCGGCUUCCUGGACUGUAACUGACGCUCAGACGCGAAAGCUAGGGUAGCAAACG